rnacentral:misc_RNA from 1 species
UUAAGUUCAGCGGGUAUCCCUACCUGAUCCGAGGUCAAAAGUUAAAAAAGACUUGUGGAUGCAAGUGUUACUAGGUAAGAAUCGCGACUUGUGCUGCGCUUCAAUACCAAAACACUGGCUGCCAAUUGUUUUAAGGCGAGUCCAAACACCAGGGAGAGGACAAACACCCAACACCAAGCAAAGCUUGAAGGUACAAAUGA